rnacentral:rRNA from 1 species
UACAGAGACCCCGACCGUUACCCGGAUUUAUUGGGCGUAAAGCGUCCGCAGCUGGUGAAGAUUGUGGUGUGUUAAAUCCGAAGGCUCAACCUUCGACCUGCAUACCAAACGUCUUCGCUCGAGGAAUGGAGAGGUACAUGGAACUCCCGGUGGAGCAGUGAAAUGCGUUGAUAUCGGGGGGAACACCAAUGGCGAAGGCAGUGUACUGGCCAUCUCCUGACAGUCAUGGACGAAAGCGUGGGGAGCGAACGGG